rnacentral:lncRNA from 1 species
CUAGUCCGGGCCUUGGGGGAGUCCCCGGAGUCCCCGUGGCUUUCCAGCUCCAGGCUCGGGAGAGGGUGACCUUGGAGCCGGGAUUUCACUUCUACAGCGCUGUGGUGCCGGGGGGACAGGGAGAAGGGCUCCCUGGCCCCCAGUUCACGAGGAGAAGGGGCCUUGACCGGUCAGGACCACCACCCUACGACGCCGCUCAGCUCUGGGCGAUUCUCUCCUCCCUUGCUGAAGCAGGCAUUGAGAGCCUGCGUUCCUCCCGCUCUGUUUCCGUUUAGGUAAAAUGGAUAGAAUAAUAGUACUUACCUCAAAGGAUUGUUGAAGAGAAUCAACAAGAUGAUAUCCCUGAAGCACUGGGAAUAGUGUCUGGCACACAGCACUCUCCCAGGAGCACACCGCGGCGCUAGAGAAGACCAGGAAAAAGGACCUGAGCCAGCUUGCCGUCUUAACAAAAAUUUCAAACUUUGCAAAGCGGUAUACCUUCUUAUUCUCCAGUUCAGUAUUGCCAGUGAAGUCAUACUGAACGCAGACAAGGAAAAGAAAGAAAAAGAAACUCAAUGAGAUAUGUUGUCAUCUUCCCUGUUUUAUGGAUGAAGUUCUAAGUAGAGGUUCGGAGAAGAUGUUCAGCCUCAGAACGUAGCCACCUUGCUGUGAGAAAGCCCAACCAUCUUGUACAGCGAGACCACAUGGAGAGGCGCAUGUGGAAAGGAACGGAGGCUACAAGCCGAUAGCCAGCAUCGACUGCCAGGCACGGAGAGUGAGUCUUCAGAUGAAUCCAGCCUCAGCCUAGAGUCUUUUGUCUCAGGCCCCAGACACUGUGGAGCAGGGACAAGCCAUCCCCACUGUGUCCCACCCGCAUUCCUGAUCCACAGAAUCUAUGAGCACAAUAAAUAGUUGCUUUA